rnacentral:rRNA from 1 species
AAUUUAAACGAUUAUUAUUAUUAUUAGAAUUGUUUUAUUUUUUAAAAAAUUAUUGUGUUUAGUAUGAUUAAUUGAAUUAUUGAUUUUAAUUAUAGCUUAAAGUACGGUGAGGGAUUUUAAUUAAAAUUUAUUUAAGUAUGUUUUUUUGACAGUACCUUGUGUAUCAGGGUCGAUUAAAAUUAUAUUUAAAAUUAAAAUUUCCCGAUAUUUGAAGAGUUAAAAUUUAAUUGAUUUUGAUGUGAUAUAAUCAUUUCUAAUUAAUUUUUAGGGGUUAAAUGCUAUUCGUUUCAAAUUGUAUCUGGUUUUUUAAGAAAUUAAUUUAAUUAAGGUUUUGGCUCAAUUUAAUUUAUUUUUUAAUUAAGUUGAAUGUUAAUUUUUACAAUUUUUUGGGAUUAGCUAGAAAAUUUAUUAUUAAAAAUUUAAUUUAAAUGAAUUUUAAUUAGGAUUAGAAGUUUUUAUUUUUUGGAUUGAUUUAUAUCUCUUGAUUUGUUAAAUUUAUUUUUGAAUUGUUUUAAAUUUUUUAUUAAAAUGAUUGGGUUAAUUGUUUACCUAAUGAAAUAAUGAUUGAAUUAGUAUUGGUUUAAUUUAAAUUUUAUAAUACGAGUGAGGCUAUUAUAAGGAAUUCGGCAAAUAUUAUUCUCGCCUGUUUAAUAAAAACAUGUCCUCUUGUGUUUUAUUUGAGGUCUGACCUGCCCAAUGAUUUUUUAAUGGCUGCGGUAUUUUGACCGUACAAAGGUAGCAUAAUCAUUAGUUAUUUAAUUGAUAACUGGAAUGAAUGGUUGGACGAGGAAUAAUCUGUCUCAUUAUAGAUUUGUAAGAAUUUAACUUUUAAGUGAAAAGGCUUAAAUGAUUUUGAAAGACGAGAAGACCCUAUAGAGUUUUACAUUAAAUAUUCUUUUUAAAUUUAUUGUAUUGAUUUUUUAUUAGACUUUUUAUUGUUUUGUUGGGGUGACGGAAAAAUUUAUUUAACUUUUUCAUUAUUUAAACAUUUUUCAAUGUAUAUUUGAUCCAGGCUUACUGAUUAAUAGAACAAAUUACCUUAGGGAUAACAGCGUAAUUUCUUUGAAGAGUUCAAAUCGUUAAAGAAGUUUGCGACCUCGAUGUUGGAUUAAGAUUAAUAAUAGGUGCAGAAGCUUAUUUAUUUGGUCUGUUCGACCAUUAAAAUUUUACAUGAUCUGAGUUUAGACCGGCGUGAGCCAGGUUGGUUUCUAUCUUUAAAUUAUUAAAACUUUUUAGUACGAAAGGACCAAUUGUUUUUAAAACUUAUUUAGAUUUGAAUAGC